rnacentral:rRNA from 1 species
AACGGGGGGGGCUAGUGUUACUCAUCUUAACUGGGCGUAAAGGGCGAGCAGACGGUUGCUUAGAGUUAAGGUCAAAUCUCUAUAUGCCAAGGAGACUUCUUUUAGACCGGCAAAUAUAUAUCCUUAAAGGAAUCUUGAGUACGGGAUAGGAUAGCGGGAACUCCCAGUGGAGGGGUAGAAUCUUACUAUACUGGAGGGGACCACCAAUUGGCGUAAGCGGCUAUCUAGUCUGUUACUGACGUUCAUGAGCGAAAGCGUGGGGGAGCAAACAGG